rnacentral:lncRNA from 1 species
GGUGCAAAUGUAAUUGUGGUUUUUGCUAUUAAAAGUAAUUACUUUGAAGCAGAAUCACAACAAGGUUGAGGUAUAAGAGUCCAUCUAGUUAUAGAUUACAAAAACAUAGUCACUAAACUCAUCAGAAGUUAUCUUAUGUUGGCCAGUCACAGUGGCCUACAAUCCCAGCACUCUGGGAAGCUGAGGUGGGUGGAUCACUUGAGGUCAGGAGUUCGAGACCCGCCUGGCCAACAUGGUGAAACCCCCGUCUCUACUAAAAAUAUACAAAAAAAAUUAGCCGGGUGUGGUGUUGUGUGCCUGUAAUCCCAGGUACUCAGGAGGCUGAGGCAGAAGAAUCGCUUGAACCCAGGAGAGGUUGCAGCGAGCCGAGAUCAAGCUACUGCACUCCAGCAUGGGCAACAGAGUAAGACUCUGUCUCAAAAUGAAAAAAAAAAAAAGUUAUCUUAUGUUUAAGGAAAGACAAGGACAAGGGUCAUUUAUCUUUAAGGAAUAUGGUGACCCAAGUAAGAGACACAGACGGCCAUAUGCUCUGUCCUGUUUUGUCUUUAAAGCAUCCCUCCAGAGAUCUGCACGUCACCACAGAGCCAGGUGCUUGGUGAAAUUAUGCUGGCAAGCAGAAAUGAGCAGAUAUGGCUUCUGUUUGCUACUUCGUCUCACAAAUGCUUUUUACUUUCUCUGUACCAAUUCACACUCCUCCUGUCUAUCUCCUCCUGGAUUAUCACCAUCCUAAGCAGGUGAUCCUGGAAGUCACAUUCCCUCUGUUCUUACGUGUGUGCUGGAUUGCCAAGGAGGGGAAAAGAAAACCCUCAGCCGCUUGCCAUCUCUCUCCUUUUUAUAUGUGUCUUUCUUCAUGAAAAGCGGGCCUCUGAAAACGAUUGCAUGAAGUGGAGCGUCUCUGUCAGGUGGAACUGGCCUCCCAGGCCGCAUUUACCCCAGUGUUAUUACAGGAAAUGAAUGCAUUGUAUUGAAGGCCGUUUGUCGCUCAUUGUUGCUCAGGCUCAGGCCUGUGUGGGACUGUUUGUCCUCCUGCACACACAGCAGCCAUUGUGUCCCCUGCAACAUCCUACAUGCAGCUGUGAACAGUUGUGCCCGAGCCAGUUUAUCGGCCGUGGAAUUCACUCAGAAAGGAAUCGAGAACAACAUAUCAAGUCAGGGCCCUCAUUUUCUCUGGGAAUGUUCUGAGCUCUCCCGCAUUCCUCCUCCCACUUGGCCAAGAAAAACAAACAAACAGUGGCCUCCUUUGAUGUACGCACCUCUGGGCUAUUCAGAGGUGGGAUUUUUUGGGUAAGAAUUUCCAAUUUCUACAUGGAAUCUCCAUUCACAACUUUCUGGACCCAGAGAGCUAAGGCAACAGAAUCUAAUAACUACAAAGGCUGUCCCUGCCACUGAUCUCUGGGGCCAAAUGAUGUCCCUACAGUAAACAAAGUCAAGGGGGUGUCCCACCCCGUCAUUUCACACCAUGACAGCCGUGAGGCUAAUUUGCAGGGUGACUCUAUGAACACUGUGUUGUCCUUUCGGGUUGUUCAUAUGGCCCACCUCCCAUAGGACACAUAUUUAAUUCAUCAGAACAUGAAACACUUGGCAGGGCACAGUGGCUCACCCCUGUAACUCCACACUUUUGGAGGCCGAGAUGAGAGCGUCACUUGAGGCCAGGAGUUCGAGACCAGCCUAAGCAAUAUAGCAAGAUCCUAUCUUUAUUUUAAAAGAAUGAAAAAUAAAAAACAGGAGGCUGGGCGUGGUGGCCCAUGCCUGUAAUCCCAACACUUUGGGAGGCCAAGGCAGGUGGAUCACCUGAGGUCAAGAGUUCGAGACCAACCUGGCCAACAUGGCAAAACCCUGUCUCUAUUAAAAAUACAAAAAUUAGCCAGGCAUGGUGGUGGGCACCUGUAGUCCCAGCUACUUGGGAGGCUGAGCAGGAGGAUCGCUUGAACCCAGGAGGCGAAGGUUGCAGUGAGCCGAGAUCGUGCCACUGUACUGCAGCCUGGGAGACAAAGUAAGACUCUGUCUUAAAAAAUAAGAAUAAUGAAAAAAAAAAAAACAAGAAAUAUCGGCUCCCAGGCUAGAAAUAGGAGUCAAGAAAGACUGAGGCAGGUUUCAUAGGUGAACAUUCAUAUCAAGUCUUGGCAACUGUUUAGGUGGGACAGUUGAGGCUUGGGUUGGCUUAGAAACAUUGAUCAUUUUUUCUUAAGCAUAGUGCCUACAAUUUUGAUUGGUAAAUGGGGUUUUGGGCUUGGUUGUGGAAAGUGAACCAACCAUCUGUUUUUUUCCUUGGACUGCAGUGGUGCUCAACAGAACAUUUUGCACGAGGAGCCUUAAGCUAAACAUUUGCUCUAAAACAUAUAUGUGUAUCUAUACAUCUAUGUACAUGUAAAAAAACCAUGUGUAUCCACUUAUCAGAAUAAAUCUCUGAUGCUGGGUGUGGUGGCUGAUGCCUGUAAUCCCAUCACUUUGGAAGGCCAAGGCAAGUGGAUCACUUAAUCCCAGGAGUUUUGAGACUAGCCUGGGCAACACAGUGAAACCCUGUCUCUACAAAAAAUACACAAAUUAUCUGGGUGUGGUGGUGCAUGCCUAUAGUCCCAGCUACUAGGGAGGCUGAGAUGGAAGGAUUGCUUGAGCCUGGGAUGUCAAGGCUGCAGUGAGCCAUGAGCAUGCCACUGCCCGAGUGACACAGCAAGACCCUGUCUCAAAAGAAAAAAAAAGAAUAAAUAUCUAACAAACACAAUAUAUCAAUAGUUGCCAAUAAAGUUUAGAGUAAGUAGAAUUUAGAAGAACAUGACUUAACUAAGUCCAAAUACACAGAUGUAACUUUUCCUCACUGUCCAAAUUUCCAGUUUUCACUACUAUUAAAUGUGACUCUGAUGUUCAUAAACAGGGCAAAGGAGGAAAUAAACUUAAUUCACUCAACUUGUUCUUCAGAGUCUAAAAGCCUUGUGGGGCUUAUGCUCAACUUUUACACAACGGCUUUGGCAUUAAAAGUCUUUGCACAGGCUGCUUAUAAUCCCUGCACUUUGGGAGGCCAAGGAAGGAGGAUUGCCCUGAGCUCAGGAGUUUGAGACCAGUGUGGGCAACAUGUCGAGACCCUGUCUCUACACAAAAUUUUAAAAACUAGCUGGGCAGGAUGGUGCACACCUGUAAUCCCAGCUACUGGGGAGGCUAAGGCAGGAGCAUCGCUUGAGCCCAGGAGGUCAAGGCUGCAGUGAGCUAUGAGUGUGCCACUGCACCCAAGCCUGGGCGACCCUGUCUCAAAAAAAAUAAAAAUAAAAAAAAUUUUAAAGCCAUUGCACAGUUUUCUCUGCUGCUGGAAUAAAUGGAUCUUCUGCUAGCUCUAAUUGCCCUAGUAAAAGAAUAUUAUCUUUGACCACUGAUCCUAAG